GAUAGGGUCUCACUAACUAAGUUGCUGAGGUUGGUCUCAAACCUGAGAUCCUCUGACUCAGCCUCUUGAGUAGCUGGGAUUACAGGUGUGUGCCACUGUACCCAGCUAGUGAUUUUUUUGUGUGUUUGUGUGUGUGUCUGUGUCUGUGUCUGUGUGUGUUUAAUUUGGAAUCUUAAUUUUAUUGGUAUAGUUGGAAUAUCUUUUCUAAACUUGCUGCCUUGCUGUAGUGGGUUCCAGGUGACUGGGUAAUUUAAGUGAUGACUCCUCCAAUAGUCAUUAUUUAUCACAUUAUUAGAGUUAGGUAUUGUGCAUUUUUUUUUGCUUUUUUGAAAAUCUAAAUUGUAGAUAAUACCUCUACAUUUCAAAUACUUCCAAUUUUGUUCCCAUUAUUGUACUGAGGAACAGGCUAAAUGUGUUCUGCCAGAACCACAACAGUGAUGGCACUUUAUUUCCCAUUUACUGUCAGGUGCAUUAUAGUCUCACCCUUCUCUGUAACUGCGUCUUUGAACACUUCUGUGCUGCAGAAGCUCUUGAUAAGUAUUCCCUCUAAUUCCCAAGAUGCAUCUUUUUCAGAAAUAUGAAUUCCCAUUCCUAAAAUCUCAUCACUAUUUUUGCAUAUUGUACCCCUAAAGAAAAACACUCUCAAAUUUAUUGCUUGAACCUAUAAACAGUUUGAUGAAACCAAGCAUCCUUACAAUAAGUACUUCAUAAUAUGCUUUAAGUUGUAAUAAGCUCAAUAGAUUCCAAGUAAGUGGUGCAUAGUAAGGCGUCUCUGUAAUUACCAAUUAUACUUAUUUUGAACAGGUUGAUGUUUCCAAUAAGAUGGGACAAAAUUUCCAGUAACCUGGAAAAUACAUUCUCUAUGACACCUACAUGGAAAAUGCCAACUUUGUUUAUAUCAAGAUAUAUCCAACUAAAGCACCAGUUUUCUUGCAAACACCACAUUUCAAUUUAAAAACUCUAUCACCUCCUUCUUGAUGUCUCCUACUAAACACCAGAAACUCCUUCUUUACUCCCUGUCAUUCCACUUGACAUCAACAAACAAUAAUGAAGUACAGUGAAAUUCCAUUUCUCAUGAGCUUUCUUUUCUCCAUAUUUAUUAGGACAGUCAUCAUUUUUUUUAACAAAACACACACACACACACACACACACAAGAAAGGUUCUAUGAGUCACCAGAGUUGUUUUCAUUCCUUUUAAAAGGCACACCAAGGAAAUUCUGGAGCGGCUGUGUCUUUUUUCCCUUCUUGUACUGCAUUAUAUAAUGCCAAUAAGCAGCCACACCCAAU
rnacentral:lncRNA from 1 species